rnacentral:tRNA from 1 species
GGCGCUGUGGCUCAAGUGGUAGAGCGUUAGCCUUGAGCUGAAUAGCUAAGGGACAGCGCCU